UACGGAGGGAGCUAGCGUUGUUCGGAAAUACUGGGCGUAAAGCGCACGUAGGCGGCGCAGCAAGUCAGGGGUGAAAUCCCGGGGCUCAACCCCGGAACUGCCCUUGAAACUGCAGUGCUAGAAUCUUGGAGAGGCGAGUGGAAUUCCGAGUGUAGAGGUGAAAUUCGUAGAUAUCAGGAGGAACACCGGUGGCGAAGGCGGCUCUCUGGACGGUGACUGACGCUGAGACGCGAAAGCGUGGGGAGCAAACAGG
rnacentral:rRNA from 1 species